rnacentral:lncRNA from 1 species
UUUGAAGGCACAAAAUAGAGCCAACUUCCUCAGAAGACAAAGAUAAUAGAAUAGGAGUUUUGGAGAAAAUUAGGGAAGAAUCCAUGUAGAGGAAUUGUGCAAGCUCAUGGCCCAGUAACUUUUCAACACACAAGCAAUAUAAAACUAAUUUGUCAGCCAAAUUUAUAUCAACUGGAACUUCAAUAUAAAGAGAAUCCCGAUAAGAACACUUCUA